rnacentral:rRNA from 1 species
GUCAGUCGAGUGCUUGCACUUCGCUGACGAGUGGCGGACGGGUGAGUAAUACUUAGGGAUCUGCCUUCGGGAGGGGGAUAACCAUUGGAAACGAUGGCUAAUACCGCAUAACGUCUACGGACCAAAGGGGGCUUCGGCUCUCACCUGAAGAGGAACCUAGGCGAGAUUAGCUUGUUGGUGAGGUAAAGGCUCACCAAGGCGACGAUCUCUAGCUGUUCUGAGAGGAAGAUCAGCCACACUGGGACUGAGACGCGGCCCAGACUCCUACGGGAGGCAGCAGUGGGGAAUAUUGCACAAUGGGGGAAACCCUGAUGCAGCCAUGCCGCGUGUGUGAAGAAGGCCUUCGGGUUGUAAAGCACUUUCAGUCGUGAGGAAAGGUUAGUAGUUAAUACCUGCUAGCUGUGACGUUAGCGACAGAAGAAGCACCGGCUAACUCCGUGCCAGCAGCCGCGGUAAUACGGAGGGUGCGAGCGUUAAUCGGAAUUACUGGGCGUAAAGCGCACGCAGGCGGUUUGUCAAGCUAGAGGUGAAAGCCCCGCGCUCAACGUGGGAAUUGCCUUUAGAACUGGCAGACUAGAGUCUUGGAGAGGGGAGUGGAAUUCCAGGUGUAGCGGUGAAAUGCGUAGAGAUCUGGAGGAACAUCAGUGGCG